rnacentral:rRNA from 1 species
CCUACGGGUGGCAGCAGUGGGGGAUAUUGCACAAUGGGGGGAACCCUGAUGCAGCGACGCCGCGUGGGUGAAGAAGCGCCUCGGCGCGUAAAGCCCUGUCAGCAGGGAAGAAAAUGACGGUACCUGAAGAAGAAGCCCCGGCUAACUACGUGCCAGCAGCCGCGGUAAUACGUAGGGGGCAAGCGUUAUCCGGAUUUACUGGGUGGAAAGGGGGCGCAGACGGCAAUGCAAGCCAGGAGUGAAAGCCCGGGGCCCAACCCCGGGACUGCUCUUGGAACUGCAUGGCUGGAGUACAGGAGGGGCAGGCGGAAUUCCUAGUGUAGCGGUGAAAUGCGUAGAUAUUAGGAGGAACACCGGUGGCGAAGGCGGCCUGCUGGACUGUGACUGACGUUGAGGCCCGAAGGCGUGGGGAGCAAACAGGAUUAGAUACCCGAGUAGUC